UAGAGUUAAAAUAAUAAAAAUUUUGUAGCGGUGAAGAAAGAUCGUCAAAAAUGAAAAUAUUUGUAACGGUUAAUUAUAACCGCUAAUAAAUAAUGGCUAAUAACAAGCGAAAUUUUUGUAGUGUAAUUUGCAAGUAUGUGAAUAAAAUGGGUGUUUAAUUGGAAUAGAAAUUAUGGCUAAUUAAUGCAGCAUUUUGGUUUUGGCAAGGCCUGAUAUCUGGCUGAAUCUUAUGUUUGAAUUAAAGUGUAAAGAUGUAUAUGCAUGCAGCAGAGAGAGCUAUAAAAAACAGGGAUUUGCGACACCAAUUAUUUAGGAAGCACCAUAGAAGGCACAACAGAAGCAGAAGUCCAUGAAAAGCAAGUUGUCCAAUGGUUGGUUACCAGGCUUUAUAAAGACAAAGACCAUGUUGAAUUCGAAUUCACUAUAAAUUGCCUGUAAAGAUUGUUUUUCCAAGAAAUUUCUUGGGCGGUGUUGUUCCUGGAGAGAAUGCGACAGACUUAUGAUGCUUGGUUUAGGUGACAUGGCUAUCCUAUGAAUGCUCCUGGCUUUAGUCCUCUACUUUGAUUAUCGCAAGAGCAGGGACAUUGUAAAUCUCUGAGUUACAUUCCUCAAAGGGGCACAAGUACAUAUGAUGACAAAUUCAUCAAUGGAGUUUGAUCCACAAUAUGAUGCAGACAAGGGUCAUCAUGUUGUUUAGUGAUGAAUUUUGAUAAACCUAUGAUGGUAAAAGAAUGACA